ACUCCCAGACUCCAUCCCGCGCAGGCUCUAGUAACUCGGGAACCUCAUCGCCGCCAGUAUCGUCCAAGGAUGAGCCGGUGACCCAGCUCGGCAGGGGUCACCCACAAGGAGAAGUUCCCCAGGUCGAGGGCAAGGCCAGAGCUGCUCACAAAAUCACCCUCUCGUGAAGGCGGCGCGGAAAACCCGAGCCACCCCCGGCUCAGGAGGGCCCGGCGCCGCGCUGGCGAGGCCUCACGCCUGGGGGAGCGUCGCAGAGCGCGCGCUGGGCUCGGCCCCCUCACCUUGCAAUCGUUGCGGACAAACAUCAUGCCGUGGCCGGGGUAAAUAGGCCCCGAACAGAAAUAACACUUCUCAAUACGCAUGCUGAAAACGCGUGGGUUCCCACCGACCAAAAGCCCUUCUUGAAAGGAAGUGACGUAGCCGCGUCACAGGAAGUGAUUCUCUUCAACACCCGACCCGGAAAAGAGAGAGCGUCUUUCGCCCCAGAGAGCUCGGAGUCCUACGUGACCGCGCCUCCGAGCGGCCGUGAGGCGCAGGCGCGGAGCUGCAAACUCGGCCUUGCGUGGUGCUUGUCUCCCUGCGAAGCUCGCCCUCACAGCGCCUGGUUUUCCUCUCUACCAUGGCCUAUAAGGUGCCAUGACUCUCUGGAUAUGCCAUCCAUCACUGAACCUCGUGGUAAAUCCCUCUGGGAAAUGUGAUUUUCAUCCAAUGAAAUGAAUCAACAAGGCUGGAAUUUCCAACUUAUAUCUUAACCAGCUCUCCAAGUGCAUAAGGUCAGAUACCUGUAACAAAUCCCUUUAUAUGUCCAUUUAAUGCUACUGUGAUGCUAUUCCCAGAGCUCAAGGAAGACCAGUUUUUAGAUGAUUCUUCACCACAAAAAUAUAACCUAAACCAAGGGAAUCUUCACAAUCCUCUCCCAGUCGAGAAAUUUCAAAGCCCAUAGGCCUCCUUAUAUGCUGGGGCUCUCUACAGCAGCACAUUGAAAGUUUCUUGCUGAAUAAAGAGAAUUUUCUUAUCCCAUGCAUCUCCUACGUUCAUUUUGGGGAAACUGACUUAUAGUUUGGGCAU